CAAUCCAAGGGCAUCUUUGCUUAAACAGAGUGACUUUCCCAUGGCAGUGAGCAGAAAUUUCUGCGUGUCUGUCCAUUCUCUUGUUUUCUCCAUGGAUACAAGGUGUAACUGACUAACUGACCACAGCAGCUCACAGUGCUAACCACUGAGCAACAGCAUUUGAUGAGCUGAGUUGUGUGGCUAGCUUGCUACCACCAGGCCCCAAGUCCUGAGCCCCAAAGGAAAGGGAAAAGAUAACACUGCGACAGACAGAAGAACACAGCGGAAGUUAACAAGUGCCUCUUCCAGCACAGUAUCUCCCUCUGAAGCUUCCCACCCCUUCAGAGGACAACUGUGCAGAAGCCCACAGUGGGCCUCUGUAACAGCCAGUCCCAGUGCCUAGGUAAACCAAGCACCAGGCUGAGCAUGCCUGGGCACCUUCUUGUCAUGUCUUAUUUACCAUGAGCAGUGAAACAAGGGCUCUUGCCAUUCCUACCUGUUGGGUGUGAAACAGAACCCACAAUGUUGAACGACUUACCCAAGGUCACACGGCCAGCCAGAGAGGAGGUGCUAACUCAGAUGCAUUCAGGUGUGUUGGAGAGACACGCUCCCCACGUGAUCAUGUCUGAAAGGUGAAAGGCCCUGGUAGGAAUCAAGAAGAUGACAGUAUAAACGUGCAGAUUGGCAGCCUAGACAGGCUUGAGGGACAUCUAACCCAGCAAGGUCAUGAAUGUUAGCAUUGUAAGGUCAAGACAGAGCAUGGUUGCUUAUAUUCUCACAUCAGCUCUUUUGAAAAGGGACUAAAAAGUUCAGAAAGGUAUGGGUUGAGGUAGGGGAUUCGUUGCCAGUGAUUCUCAGGCCCGUUCCACAUUAGGCUAUAUAGUUGUCACUUUGGGGGUUAGAGACAAAAGUGGCACGUAAUCAGAGGCUGUGGAAGAUGCUGAGGACUCCAGAGGUUGGCAUGGAGGCAGGUGGACUCUCCAUUUGCAGAGGAGAUGAGCUCUGCCUCUAAUGCAUCUUUGCAACAUCAAUGCAUCCCUGAAAGUGUUCCAACUCAAUCCAGGAUGUUCCCUCUGGCUCCCUGAAGUCAUGCCUGCUGUCCCCACAUUGAAACACGUAGCUUACAUAGACAGCGCCGUUACCUCCCACCUCUGAACACAGUUGGAACCGCUCACAAAAGACUUGCCAAAGACAUGGGUUGACCUGUUCCUAAGAUACAGGGUACAAAGGCAGCUGUCUAUGCAAGUUCACAAAUGGCUCCCAAGGGGUCUUGGCUGGACUUAGGGCCCUACAUCUGACUGGUGGUUGAACAUGACACACAUUUACAACAUGGAGGGAGAUGGCAGGACAUCACACUCUCAACACUGUGACAAGGCAGUGUCAGAGUUCGGGCACGGCCUCAGUAUUCACACAAAACCCAACUUGCACUUGGAACAGACAAGAGCUUCUCAUCCUUGCGAACAGCCCCGUUCUCCCAGACCUCCCUUCCCAGUUUCUUAAAGACUAGUCUCCAUGCCAACUUAAAUAUUGCAUUUGGUUGGGAGAGAAGAAACCGCGAGCCCAGAAUGGAAGUCAAAUUAUUCCACAAAUAUUGCUUAUUUAAAUAACAUUUUUAAAAAUACAUCAUGUUCAGUGGUGAAGAACUACUAAAUUAUUGAAUUCCCCGAAGCAUCCUACAGGCUUUCAAGUGGCUCAUGAAGCCCUAUAAAAGAACGUGAUAAAUAGUCAAAAAGGAACGCUGGGCUCCACGUCAGGAUGCCUGGAUGAGCCAACGUAAAACAUCUUCAUGUAAGCUUUCCACUUAAACCGGCGAUUAAACAGAUUAAACAGAUGAUUAAACAAAUAAAGAUUAAUGAAACAAGUAAAGUAAUCAAAUCUGUAUGGAUGUAUAAACGAACGAUUCCCAACAAUAUUAGAACAAAUUGUCUAAAACUAAUAGGGAAAUGCGUCAGCCCGGUCCCAACAGCUUUUGUUGGGCUCGCGCUUGGAUGUAAUCAAAACAUUUGUUUAAACUAAGAUGGAUAUGAGGCGCUAAGAUGUCAGUUUCUUGAAAGAGAAAAAUAAAACAAAAGCAACGCCUUUGGUGAGGAGAUUGGCACCAGCGACAGGCCUGCAUUGCUGAGGGAUCUGUGAACGGAGCAGGGAGGGAGGGCUCUGUCUGCUUUUGAAAAUAGGCUGUGCGCAAAUAAUUAGUACCAGCAGGCCGGAAGAAGCCAGAGGUAGCUCGAUGCUUAAGAAUUUGAGAGGAAGAGAAAAACUGUUCAGAUGUCCAGUCCUUUAGAAAGCCCUGUUUAAUCAUCAGCCAUUGAUACGCUGAUGCUGCCUGACUAUGGAGUUUCCACUGACAACUCGCUCGCUAAUUCCUUGCAUGGGAAAACUACAUCUUUGCUGUUCGUAAGUGUGGUCCUUUGAGCCAGCAGCAUCCAGCAAGUCACAGAGGCCCAUUAAAGAUGCAGAUCC
rnacentral:lncRNA from 1 species